UACGUAGGUGGCAAGCGUUGUCCGGAUUUACUGGGCGUAAAGAGCGCGCAGGCGGUCGUUCAAGUCGCGUGUGAAAGCCCCCGGCUCAACUGGGGAGGGUCACGCGAUACUGAUCGACUUGAAGGCAGGAGAGGGAAGUGGAAUUCCCGGUGUAGAGGUGAAAUUCGUAGAUAUCGGGAGGAACAUCGGUGGCGAAGGCGGCGACCUGGGUAGAUACUGACGCUGAGGCGCGAAAGCGUGGGGAGCAAACAGG
rnacentral:rRNA from 1 species